CACGUAGGGCGCAAGCGUUGUCCGGAAUUAUUGGGCGUAAAGAGCUCGUAGGCGGUCUGUUGCGUCCGCUGUGAAAACUCGGGGCUUAACCCCGAGCCUGCAGUGGAUACGGGCAGACUAGAGGUAGGUAGGGGAGAAUGGAAUUCCCGGUGUAGCGGUGAAAUGCGCAGAUAUCGGGAGGAACACCAGUGGCGAAGGCGGCGACCUGGGCCAAUACUGACGCUGAGGUGCGAAAGCGUGGGGAGCAAACAGG
rnacentral:rRNA from 1 species